rnacentral:rRNA from 1 species
UACGGAGGGGGCUAGCGUUGUUCGGAAUUACUGGGCGUAAAGCGUGCGUAGGCGGUUUCUUAAGUCUGCUGUGAAAUCCCCGGGCUCAACCUGGGAAUGGCAGUGGAUACUGGGAGGCUAGAGUGUGUCAGAGGAUGGUGGAAUUCCCGGUGUAGCGGUGAAAUGCGUAGAGAUCGGGAGGAACAUCAGUGGCGAAGGCGGCCAUCUGGGACAACACUGACGCUGAGGCACGAAAGCGUGGGGAGCAAACAGG